UACAGGGGGUGCAAGCGUUGUCCGGAAUUAUUGGGCGUAAAGAGCUCGUAGGCGGUUUGUCGCGUCGGCUGUGAAAACCUGGGGCUCAACCCCGGGCCUGCAGCCGAUACGGGCAAACUAGAAUUCGGUAGGGGAGACUGGAAUUCCUGGUGUAGCGGUGAAAUGCGCAGAUAUUAGGAAGAACACCGGUGGCGAAGGCGGCCAUCUGGCUCGGUACUGACGCUCAGGCGCGAAAGCGUGGGGAGCAAACAGG
rnacentral:rRNA from 1 species